rnacentral:tRNA from 1 species
AGCCACAUAAUUUAAUGUAAAAUAUAUAAUUGCAGAUUAUAAUAUCUCAGUAGCAAACCUGAGUGUGGCUU